GGAGCCUCUCCCCAUAACCACCACAGGCUGGAAUAUGGUGGGUCACACCCGAAGCCUGUGUUGCUCUGAGUCUUACCCAAGGCUCAUGAGUUAGAGAGCUCAAGGAUAAUUUGGAAAAUUGGUCUAAAGUGACAUCUGACCCAUCUGCUGCUACAAAUGUUGGACUGUCAGGGAAACCAGAGAACUGCCACAAGUCAAGGAGACAUCAUUUGAAAGUUUUGUUUCUCCUACUUUAAAUAAAAUAAAAUAUAAAUAAUUCCU
rnacentral:lncRNA from 1 species